rnacentral:lncRNA from 1 species
AAGCAGCCGCCGACGCCGCCGCGGGGAGACUUCCGCCAGUACUUCUGCCAAGCCUGGCUUCUGAUUGAUCCGCACUGCACAACAAGGCCGCUGUGUCGCCAUCUUUUUUGAGGGCAGUUCUGUGGGCCCCGUAGUGCUCCGCUCUCCUUCAUAAAUCCAGCCGGGAACGGCGGAAUCUGCCUGGAAAUGGCGGGAUGAAGCCUAAAUCCCCUGGCAUUUAACAAAAGCGGCCAAAUCCACCCAGAAGAGUCUCCCAGGAGCGCUACCAAGCUCAACCAGCCCAAACUGCCCGUCUCCGGCGUCAGGCAUCGCCGCCAUUUUGGGUGAGGGCAGUUCCGCCCGGUCCUGGAUAUGCUUCCACAGGUGGGCAGAGCAACGGGGAUUCCAAAUUCCACUUAAAUUCCCCAAAUUCAGCCUAAAUCCCCCCAUUAUUCCGUUUAAAUCCCCCCAAACUCGGCAGAAAACCCUGCAGGACCCCUGGGGCCUCUAAAGAGAGCCAGGACAGCUCCUGCCCUUUUCCUGAAGCAGCGCCGCCGUCUUGUUGAGGGCAGUUCCGCCCGCUCCUCAGAGCGCUCCGCGUUUCCUCAUAAAUCCCGCCGGGAACGGCGGAAUCCGCCUGGAAAUGCCUGGACGGAGCCUAAAUCCCCUAGGAUUGAGCCAAAGCGCGCAAAUCCUCGAGCUUCCAUGGGAAAGGGCGGGCGCCCGGCCCCUUUCCCAUCCUUCCUGAGGCGGCUCGGCCUUUUCUCGGCGCCGUUCCCGGGACCGGUUCUGGGCCGGGACCGAAGUCGGUCCCGGGGCUCCUUUGCCACCGGAGCGUGCCCAAGGUGUCUCCAGUGAGCAUGGCGCCAAAAGAGCUGUCCCCAGCCCUGCUGCAGCCACAGGUCACCAUGGUGGCCAUCCUGGUUGAGCUGCUGGAUAUCCUGCACAGGCGGGACGAGGAGAUGCUGAUGCUGCUCGAGUCCCCAAGGUGCCUGUACAGUGAACUGGUGGAUUUCACCGAGGAGUUCCACUCCAUCCUGGAAUACACUGAUGACACCUGGUACCACCGCAAUAACUCCUCUUUAACUGACCCUCUCACCUCCCUGAGCCAGGCCCUGGCUGCCUACAAGAGCACCCCAUGGACCACCUGGUUCCAUGUGAAAAUAGCAGCGAGCAAGUGGCAGGAGGCGGUGUCUCUGCUUGUGGACAGGUGGGCCAGGCUGCCCAGGAAGGCCACCGAGCUCCACAACGCCUGCAGGGAGGUGGCCGACAGGGCGGCCACUGCCACUGCCCGGGCCAGGGACCUGCAUCAUGAGAUUGCCCAUUAUGAGACAGCUCAGGAAAACAUGGAGCUGGAUCAGGCCCUGGGCAGGGAGGAGGGGGCCGAGGUGAUGGCCGGGCAUAAAGCCCAGGUGAGGAGAGAGGCCAUGGUGGCUGCCAGCGAGGCAACAAGGGCCACCAUGGUGAGACAGCGGGUGGAGGCGGCCCUGGGGCUGCUGGAGCGCUUGGUGGCCACGUGUGACGAAGCCACCGCGUUCACCCGGGAGCUGCAGCGCAGGGUUGGGGACAUCAAGACCAGCUUGAAGGGGACAAAUGAGGCAUCAUACGAUGUCCCUGAGGACUUGGUGGCCAGGGUGGCCAUGGCUGAGCGGCUGUGGGAGGCCAACAACCGCCUGGCCAAGGAUCACCUGGAGGAGACGCUUGACGACAUCAUCAAGUUCUAUAUCGAUGGUGAACCCGUCAGCCCCAGUGGCUGUGGCGUGGCCGAGCGGUGCCAAAGAGCCACUGAGGACAUCCCAAGGCUCCUCAAACCCCGAGAGCGUCCCCAAGGUGUCCCCAAGGUGUCUCCAGUGAGCAUGGAGCUCCAAGAGCUGUCCCCGGCCCUGCUGCAGCCACAGGUCACCGUGGUGGCCACCCUGGGUGAGCUGCUGGAUACCCUGCCCAGGCAGGAAGAGGAGAUGAUGCUGCCCGUGUCCACAGCGAGCCUGUACCGGGACCUGGUGGACUUCACUGAGAGCCUCUGGGUCACCCUGUACCGCACUGAGGGCACCUGGUGGCGCCACAAUGUCACCCACGAUGAUGGUGACCCUCUCACCUCCCUGAGUGGGGUCAUGGCCGCCUAUGACAGCACCACCUGGACCAGCUGGGACGAUGUGACAAUGGCAGCCAGGAAGUGGCAGCGAUCAGUGUCUGUGCUUGUGAACAGCUGGGCCCAGCUGGCCAGGAAGGCCACCAAGCUCCACAACACCUGCANAAGGAUCACCUACGGGGGACGCUUGAUGACAUCAUCAACUUCUAUUUCACUGCUGGUCCCACCAGCCCCAGUGCCUGUGGGGUGGCCGAGCAGUGCCAAAGAGCCAUCGAGGACAUCCCAAGGCUCCUUCGACCUGUGGAGCAUCCCCAAGGUGUCCUCAAGAUGUCCCCAGUGAGCACGGAGCUCCAAGAGCUGUCCCCAACCCUGCUGCAGCCACAGGUCACCGUGGUGGCCAUCCUGGGCAAGCUCCUGGCCACCCUGCCCAGGCGGGACAAGAUGAAUCUCGUGUCCGCAGUGGACCUGUACUGGGAACUGGUGAACUUCACCAAGGACCUUCGGGUCACCCUGUACUGCACUGAUGCCACCUGGCAGCGCCACAAUGUCACUUCCAAUGGUGAUGACCCUGUCACCUUGCUGAGCCAGGUCCUGGUCACCUACAAGAGCACCCCAUGGACCCCCCAGAACCGUGUGACAAUGGCAGCCAGGAAGUGGCAGCAGUUGGUGGCCACGCUCAUGAACAGCUGGGCCCGGCUGGCCAGGGCAGCCACCAAGCUCCGCAACAGCUGCAUAGAGGCGGCUGCUGAGGCGGUUGACAGAGUCGCCCAGGCCAGAGAACAACAGCGCAGGGCUGCCUAUGGUGGGACAGCUCAGGAAAACAUGGUGGAGCUGGGUCAGGCCCUGGGCAGGGAGGAGGGGGCCGAGGAGGAGGAUCCCUAUAAAGCCCAGAAAAGGAGAGAUGCCAGGGUGGCUGCCAGCGAGGCAACAAGGGCCACCAUGGUGAGACAGCAGCUGGAGGUGGCCCUGGGGCUGCUGGAGCCCUUGGUGGCCGCGUGUGACGAAGCCACCGCGUUUCCCCGGGAGCUGGAGUGGCGGCUCAGGGACAUUGAGGCUGCCCUGAAGGGGACAAAUGAGGCGUCCCCUGAUGUCCCGGCGGACUUGGUGGCCAAGGUGGCUGAGGCUGAGCGGCUGUGGAAGGCCAACGCCCGCCUGGCCAAGGAUCACCUAUGGGGGAUGCUUGAUGACAUCAUCAACUUCUAUUUCACUGCUGGUCCCACCAGCCCCAGUGCCUGUGAGGUUGCCAAGCGGUGCCAAAGAGCCACCGAGGACAUCCCAAGGCUCCUUCGACCUGUGGAGCAUCCCCAAGAUGU